rnacentral:rRNA from 1 species
AUGGCCAUCGAGCAGAUAGAGAAGCCGCAGCCGCAGCAGAAGCAGGGCCAGGGCGAUGAAGACGACGACUCAAAGCUGUACGAGUUCAAGGAGCAGCUCCUGCUGCUGUCGACAUUGGUGGCGACGGUGACGUACGUCGCCGGGCUGAACCUGCCCGGGGGAUCCUGGGAGCAGGAUGACCCGGAAGGGCACAUGGCCGGCGAUCCGAUCCUACUGGCUACCCACUACCGCCGGUACCUUGCCUUCUACUACUGCAACGCCACAGCACUCGCCGCGUCGCUCGUGGUCUCCCUCAUCCUUGUCAUCCUGCCGAAGAAUAGCACACCCUGGACCGUGGUGCUGCAGAUGGUCAUGGUGCUCGACCUACUAGGCCUCAUGGGCGCCUACGGUGCCGGGAGCUGCCGGGAUGCAUUUACAACCAUCUACGCAGUGGCCGCCUUCUCCUUUUCGGUAUUGGUCAUCAUCUCUGUUUUCCUUUCCUUAUUGGCCAAGGCCAAUAGGGAUCGUGCCGUCGGCUCCGACACCAUACCAAUCACCAUCAGUGGUGAUGAUAAGGAUGUCAACUUGGGCUCCAAUUCCAUCACCACCAAUGGUGAUGGUAAUAAGGUUCAGUCGUCCAAGCCCCGCCGUAACUUCAUGAAGCGAGCCAGGGAGAUCUAUGCGGGGGUGGUAAUCCGAAAGGAGGGCAAGAACCGAGGUGAGAAAGAGAUGGUUGAUGUGUUGAUGUUACUAGCAACAUUUGCAGUCACAAUCACAUAUGUCGCCGGGCUGAGCCCGCCUGGUGGGUUCUGGACCAGCACCCAGGACGGCCAUCGUUUGAGCGACCCGGUGUUACAAGCCCGUAACCGGUACCGUGUCUUCUUCAUUUGCAACACCACUUCAUUCACCGUGUCCCUGCUCAUCAUUGUGUUGCUCCUGGAGAAGAAGCUGCUCGGGUGGAAGAAGUUGAGGCUUGUGGCACUCUGCGGGUUGAUCGUCGUCGUCCUGCUGGGCCUCAUGGGGGCCUAUGCUGCUGGGAGCUGCAGAGAGGCUGGCAAAACUAUCUUGGUCCUUACUGUUCCUGUCAGCGUAUGCCUCCUGCUGGCGCUUGUUUUCAUUUGGGGAUCACUGGCGGACCGGCUUGAUUCUGUCAUAACAUGGUUCAGGGAACUGGUCAAUAUUAAGAUUCCUUCAGGUACAUGUAGAGGCACGAAUGUUGUCCUACACGAACAGAACACUCGCGAUCUUGUUAUGCUCCUCGCUACUCUUGUGGUGACCAUCACUUACCAAGCAGGACUAGAUCCACCCGGCGGCCUUUGGCCAGAUGACCGAGAUGGUCAUAAUAUUGGUCACCCGGUGCUCCAAACGACACAUCCUACUAGGUACAGAGUUUUCUUCUAUAGCAACUCCGCAGCUUUCGUCACAUCCUUGGUCGUCAUCAUGAUGCUCCAGAGCAAGUUUCUGCUCAACCGGCACACACUAGAAGCAACCCUGGUGCUCGACCUAUUCGGCCUCAUCACUGCCUAUGGCGCCGGGAGCACUAGGGAGGUAACCCAAUCCAUCUACAUCGUCGCCUUGGCAGGAAUUGUCCUAGUCUAUGUCAUCGUCCAUAUCACCAUUAGAGAUCAUGACCCUGAGCCAGUGGGUGAUGAUGCAGUAAAGCAUCUCGAUGACAAGCGCAAGGUACUGUUGCUGGUCGCUGUCUUGGCUGCCACCCUCACAUACCAAGCUGGCCUCACCCCGCCAGGUGGCUUCUGGUUAGCAGAUGACCGAGAGCUCGGUCGUCGUGCGGGCUUCCCAAUCCUCCUUGACAAUUACACUCGCCGUUACAACACAUUCUUCUACUGCAAUGCAGCAAGCUUCAUGGCCUCCGUAACCCUCAUCCUUCUUCUUGUCAAUCCAAAGUUAUACAGGCCAGGCAUACGCUGCCGUGCGCUCUAUGUGUGCAUGCUGGUGGGCAUGUUUGGCCUCAUGGGUGCCUACGCUGCUGGAAGCUCCCGGAAUCUCAAGACCUCCGUCUAUGUAUUGACACUCGUUGGUGCAGUGCUAGCCUUCAUAGCCUCACUACUAGCCAUUUUCUGGUUGCUGCCUUAUCUCAAAUCCCAAGAAGGUAGAGUUUUCUGCUUCGACCCUUUUGGCAAAUCUCAAAAAGGUACAGAUGGGCAAGUUGUAGCUGGUCAUAGCUGCAGAAAAUCCCAUGAAGGUACAGAAGGGCAAGUUGAAGCAGGUCAUAGCAGCAGCAAAUUCCAUGAAGGUACAGAUGAGCAACUUGAAGCAGGUCAUAGCAGCAGAAAAUCCCAUGAAGGUACAGAUGGGCAAGUUGAAGCAGGUCAUAGCAGCAGCAAAUCCCAUGAAGGUACUGAUGAGCAACUUGAGGCAGGUCAUAGCAGCAGCAAAUCCCAUGAAGGUACAGAUGGGCGAAUUGAAGCAGGUCAUAGCAGCGGCAACAAAAUUAGCAGCAAGAAAGAAAAACUUCAAUACUUGAUGCUGCUAGGGAUCCUGGCUGCAAGUAUGACAUACCAGACUGGCCUAAAACCACCGGGUGGCCUGUGGCAGGACAACAAUGAUGGGCACUAUGCUGGCAACCCCAUUCUCCACGACAUCAACAAGGACCGGUACAAUGCUUUCUUCUACAGCAACUCCGCCUCCUUCAUGGCCUCAAUUGUGGCCGUCGUCAUGCUGCUUCCAUUGACAUUGUUCCCCGAGAAAUACACAACAAAGUCAUUCAAGAAAGACACAAAGUCACCCGGCGAGGACACAAAGUCGCUCGACAAAAUCAUGAAGCCGGCCGAGAAAGACCCGAAGCUGACCGAGAAAGACAAGGAGUCGCCCAAGAAAGACACAUGGCCACUCUGGCCGAUGCAUAUGGCCAUUUUGCUGGACAUGAUGGGCCUCCUGGUGGCAUACGCAGCAGGCAGUACUAGGAAAUGGGAAACAUCCAGGAACGUCAUGGUCCUCAUCGUUCCUGUGUUGGCCUACAUUGGGCUCUACGCAGCACUGUCAGUCUUCUGCCAUAGAGAGAAAAAGACCAAAGUGGCAACAGCCCCCCAAGUUAGGCUCAACUGCAGGUGUGUGGGAGGAACUGCAGGUGUGUAA